AUUGAACGCUGGCGGCAGGCCUAACACAUGCAAGUCGAGCGAGCGGCGGACGGGUGAGUAAUGUCUGGGAAUCUGCCUGAUAGAGGGGGAUCACUACUGGAAACGGUAGCUAAUACCGCAUACUAUCAGAUGUGCCCAUAUGGGAUUAGCUAGUAGGUGGGGUAAAGGCUCACCUAGGCGACGAUCCCUAGCUGGUCUGAGAGGAUGACCAGCCACACUGGAACUGAGACACGGUCCAGACUCCUACGGGAGGCAGCAGUGGGGAAUAUUGCACAAUGGGCGCAAGCCUGAUGCAGCCAUGCCGCGUGUGUGAAGAAGGCCUUCGGGUUGUAAAGCACUUUCAGCGGGGAGGCGUUACCCGCAGAAGAAGCACCGGCUAACUCCGUGCCAGCAGCCGCGGUAAUAC
rnacentral:rRNA from 1 species